CUAAAAGCCUGUUUUCACUUUGUCAUUAUGGAGUUUUGUGUGUAGAUUGACAAGGAGAAUAUUUAAUCAAUUUUAGAAUAAAGGCUGUAAUGUAACAAAAUGUGGAAAAAAGUGAAGGGGUCUGAAUACACUGUAAAGGGCACUGACACACAGUAGUCUCUCACUACGCUAUAAGAAACCGCUUAUUGAGAAGCUUAUUGUGACAUUUGUUGUUGUCGUCUAUAAGACUACAAAAGCACGGGCGUGUAGGAGUGUAGAGAGAGAUGGUGAGAGGGAGUAGAGAGAGAGAGAUGGAGGGAAGGUAGGGAGAGAGAGAGAUGGAGGGAGAAGAGAGAGAGAGAGAGAUGGAGGGAGGGUAGGGAGAGAGAGAGAGAGAGAUGGAGGGAAGGUAGGGAGAGAGAGAGAUGGAGGGAGAGUAGGGAGAGAGAGAGAUGGAGGGAGGGUAGGGAGAGAGAGAGAUGGAGGGAGAAGAGAGAGACAGAGAGAUGGAGGGAGGGUAGGGGAAGAGAGAGACAGAGAGAUGGAGUGUAUGUAAUUAGAAAGAAAUGAUUGAAUCACUAUGUAACAGCAUACUAGUUAUUGAAUGAUCGUCAGUCUAAUAGAAUGCCUGCUCAAACACCUUUGUCCCAGGUCACGACCCCACUCUUUACUAUGAGAGGAUGGACGAACGAGUCUUUAUUUAUAACUUUAUUUAUAACUUUAUUCUGUUCUUAAACCCUGAAGUUCACAGCUUAAAUGUUUUUUUUUAAAGGUUAUAUACUUUAUAGGCCUACUGUAGGUACUUGAGUAACACAUCGCUUGCAGCAAGCGACAUCUAUUCUCCCUUUCUUUCUUUCAUAUUGAUAGGCUGUAACAGUUAAAUAAACAAAAAUCUAUAAAUACAAAUCAACCUAUCAACGUGAUGAAUCCGUCUCCAAUCCAAGAGGCCUGUUGAAAAUCAACCUAUCAACGUGAUGAAUCCGUCUCCAAUCCAAGAGGCCUGUUGAAAAUCAACCUAUCAACGUGAUGAAUCCGUCUCCAAUCGAGAGGCCUGUUGAAAAUCAACCUAUCAACGUGAUGAAUCCGUCUCCAAUCGAGAGGCAUGUUGAAAAUCAACCUAUCAACGUGAUGAAUCCGUCUCCAAUCGAGCCU
ensembl:lncRNA